UACAGAGGGUGCAAGCGUUGCUCGGAAUCAUUGGGCGUAAAGGGUAGGUAGGUGGUCUCAUUUGUCGGUAGGUGAAAGCCUUGGGCUUAACCCAAGAAGUGCCUCCGAAACGGUGAGACUAGAGUUCUGGAGAGGCUAGGGGAAUUCCCGGUGUAGCGGUGAAAUGCGCAGAUAUCAGGAGGAACACCGGUGGCGAAGGCGGGUCUCUGGGCAGUGAACUGACGCUGGAGGAGCGAAAGCGUGGGGAGCGAACAGG
rnacentral:rRNA from 1 species